rnacentral:rRNA from 1 species
AUUGAACGCUGGCGGCAUGCCUUACACAUGCAAGUCGAACGGCAGCGGACCUUCGGGUGCCGGCGAGUGGCGAACGGGUGAGUAAUGCAUCGGAACGUGCCAUUGAGUGGGGGAUAACGUAGCGAAAGUUACGCUAAUACCGCAUAUUCUGUGAGCAGGAAAGCAGGGGACCGCAAGGCCUUGCGCUCUUUGAGCGGCCGAUGUCAGAUUAGCUAGUUGGUGAGGUAAAGGCUUACCAAGGCGACGAUCUGUAGCGGGUCUGAGAGGAUGAUCCGCCACACUGGAACUGAGACACGGUCCAGACUCCUACGGGAGGCAGCAGUGGGGAAUUUUGGACAAUGGGCGCAAGCCUGAUCCAGCCAUGCCGCGUGAGUG